rnacentral:rRNA from 1 species
ACCACAGCCAUAUCACCCUCUAGCCCGAGACUGGUUGCCCACUGAAGCUAAGCAUGGUUGAGCCUGGUCAGUACGCAGUACCUGGAUGAGAGACCUCCUGGGGAAAACUAGGUUGCUGCUGGAA